AUUAAUAAUUAACAUGUAUUUUAACUAGUAAUAGAUAUAAAUAAACGAUUUAAGUAUUAGAAACUGUUGAUAAAAUGGUUGUCCACAAAAAGAGCGAGGUUACGACGAAAUGAAGGUAAAUUUGUUUGUUUACAUUAUUUGCGGUUUCUAAUGAACUCCGCGUUAAGCUCUUCUGCCAUACGAUAUUCAAGCUAAUUUAAAAGAUCGUAUGUGGGUAAGAAAGUUUGUAUACUUAAGCCCAUUUGUACUUAGGUCAGUUUAAUUUAAAUGUGUGUGGUAAGGUCCUGCGCGCAGGAUGCUAUAUAUAAGCGCGUGGAUGCGCUUACGAUGCACAACAAUCCUGACACAACAUGAAGAUUAUUGCCUUCCUCUUCCUCCUCGCCCUGGGCCUGGCAGCAGCCGGCAACAUCUGGUGGGGCUCCUCCGGACCAAUAAUCAUCCGGCGCUCAUCCGGCUGGUCCGGCUGGUCCGGUAGCCGUGGCUGGAACAGUGGCUGGAACAGUGGCUGGAACGGUGGAUGGAACAGAGGGUGGAAUAAUGGCUGGAACGGAUGGUGGUAAUCUUGAGACGGAGUUUGGGGAGUAGGAAGGUCGUAGCUACGACUUUUAUUAUACUGUAGCAAUUUAGGAAAAGAAAAGAUUGACUUUUCUGGACAUCUCGCAAAAUUUUAGACCACUAACAAAUACAUUUUAUAAAAUGUUACAAAAGUAUAAGGGAGUCGUCGAACAGAUCAAAUAAAUAUUUGAAGCUUGAUGAAUGACCUUAGGUGCCAAAAGGUUGAGAGUUCUCUACAGGGUAU